UUGAAAUAGCAUGACGAGUUGUCGCUGGCCUUUUUGACCGUGCACGCUCUGUCGUUCUUCAUUUCUCCAUCUAUUUGUGCACCUCUUGCGUAGACCUUUUCUGAGGGCUUCCUCGGGUCGUUAGGACUGCUUUGCAAAAAUUGAAUUUGUGGGCUUUCCUUGUCGCUACCACACAUACACCAGUGUAAUCGUUUAGAAGGAAAUGGAAUUUGAUGCAUAAUA
rnacentral:misc_RNA from 1 species